rnacentral:rRNA from 1 species
AGUGAACGCUGGCGGUAGGCCUAACACAUGCAAGUCGAACGGCAGCACAGUAAGAGCUUGCUCUUACGGGUGGCGAGUGGCGGACGGGUGAGGAAUACAUCGGAAUCUACUUUUUCGUGGGGGAUAACGUAGGGAAACUUACGCUAAUACCGCAUACGACCUACGGGUGAAAGCAGGGGAUCUUCGGACCUUGCGCGAUUGAAUGAGCCGAUGUCGGAUUAGCUAGUUGGCGGGGUAAAGGCCCACCAAGGCGACGAUCCGUAGCUGGUCUGAGAGGAUGAUCAGCCACACUGGAACUGAGACACGGUCCAGACUCCUACGGGAGGCAGCAGUGGGGAAUAUUGUACAAUGGGCGCAAGCCUGAUCCAGCCAUACCACGUGGGUGAAGAAGGCCUUCGGGUUGUAAAGCCCUUUUGUCGGGAAAGAAAAGCAGCAGGUUAAUACCCCGCUGUUCUGACGGUACCCAAAGAAUAAGCACCGGCUAACUUCGUG